rnacentral:tRNA from 1 species
GCCGGUGUAGCUCACGUUGGCCGAGCAGCGCCCUUGUAAGGCGCCGGACGCGGGUUCGAUUCCUGUCACCGGCU